rnacentral:rRNA from 1 species
UGACCGAGCGACGCCGCGUGCGGGAUGAAGGCCCUCGGGUGUAAACCGCUGUCGUAGGGGAGGAAGGCUCCGUGAAGAGCGGGGUUUGACCUAUCCUAGGAGGAAGUACGGGCUAAGUUCGUGCCAGCAGCCGCGGUAAUACGAACCGUACAAACGUUAUUCGGAAUCACUGGGCUUAAAGGGUGCGUAGGCGGCCACGUAAGUGAGAUGUGAAAUCCCUCGGCUCAACCGAGGAAGUGCAUUUCAUACUGCAUGGCUUGAGGGAGACAGGGGUAAGCGGAACUGAUGGUGGAGCGGUGAAAUGCGUUGAUAUCAUCAGGAACACCGGUGGCGAAAGCGGCUUACUGGGUCUCUUCUGACGCUGAGGUACGAAAGCUAGGGUAGCGAACGGGAUUAGAUACCCCGGUAGUCCUAGCUGUAAACGAUGAGCACUUGUCUGGGGAUCCUCCCAUAGGUUCCCGGACGAAGCGAAAGUGUUAAGUGCUCCGCCUGGGGAGUAUGGUCACAAGGCUG